GGUAAGCUCAUGGGGUCCCUUUAACAGACUCAGAAGACUCCUGUGAUUUUCCUGGGCCCAGAGGUGUAUACAAGGACUGUCACUGCGGCACCAUCUGCAGUAGUGAAAGACUGGAGCCACCAGUCUCACUCUCUUGCCCAGGCUAGAGUGCAUCAUCACAGCUCACAGCAUCUUCAAGCUCCUGGAUUCAAGCAAUCCUCCUGCCUCAGCCUCCUGAGAAGCUAGGACUGCAGGGUGCAUUAUAAACUCUCAGGAAAUCAAAACAGCCUCUGGAGGGAGGGGUUACUUCAUGUUUGGGGACCUGCUGAACACAAAAUGGGAUCUGCCAGCUGGACUCACCUGCACUGCUUAGAUCAUUACUCUCUCCUCACCCUUUUCAGCACAAGCUAUGCCGGGGGCCUGGCACAUAGCGAGUGCUCAAUACAUAUUGAUGAGGCGAAUGAAGUACAAAUGAAAAAAAAGCUGGAUUUGGGGCGGCUCACAAGGGAAGGACAGAACCAGUAAAACCGUAAAACCACUAAGACAGAGGUGAAAUACCAGGAAAGGAUUGGAGGCCAGAUGUCGCCCUUCCCGGCUAAGGAAGCCUGGAUUAUAUUUGAGCUCAAGGCUUUAUUUGAAUCAUACUUGCAGAUGAUGCAAAAAUCUUUGUGGGUGUUUAUUUUCCUCAAGAGAGAGGUUGAAGGCAGAACGCCUCUGAGAAGUUGGAACAAGUACCAAACAGGACAACACAGAACAUUGUUCCCCGUUCUUACUAUUGCCAGAUUUUGAAGCAAAUGAUCUAUUAUUGACUUAACCUUUUGUCUUUAGCUCAUAUUUUGUUCAAACAUUUUUAAGCGUAAUUGUUUUAU